AAUCAACGCUGGCGGCGUGCCUCAGACAUGCAAGUCGAACGCGAAAUUUCCCUUCGGGGAGAAAGUAGAGUGGCGCACGGGUGAGUAACACGUAGGUAAUUUGCCUUUGGGUGGGGAAUAACUCAGGGAAACUUGAGCUAAUACCGCAUAAUGCAGCGGCUCGACAUCGAGACAGUUGUUAAAGCGGGGGAUUGGAGCAAUCCGACCUCGCGCCUAAAGAGAAGCCUGCGGCAGAUUAGCUGGUUGGUAAGGUAAUGGCUUACCAAGGCGACGAUCUGUAACCGGCCUGAGAGGGCGGUCGGUCACACUGACACUGACAUACGGGUCAGACUCCUACGGGAGGCAGCAGUCGGGAAUUUUGGGCAAUGGGCGCAAGCCUGACCCAGCAACGCCGCGUGAAGGAUGAAAUUUUUCGGAAU
rnacentral:rRNA from 1 species